rnacentral:lncRNA from 1 species
GUCGUCCUUGACGCUCGAGCGUGGGGUGCCGGAGGACUGUGAGGCGCCGCGCGCCCGCCCCGCGCGCCCGGGUCCCGGCAGGGCAGCGCCGGCCGCGUCUGGCUCCUCCAGUUCGGUCUUUGAAACAUGUCUCAAGGAAAAAGGCAAUCUGUGAAACUAUUGAUGUUUUCCUCCCGAAACGUCUUUUUACCCGGGCAACUUAACGUUUCCACCAAUUCUUACUCGACAACUCUUCGAUGAUUUGAGCCAGUGACGGCUUUAACUCGAAGUAAUAUUUUAUAGAUAAUGGCCUCUGUAAAACUUCCUUAUUAAAGAAUAUGUUGGAUCUUGAAUCCCUUUCUGCGCUGAAGGCACCACUAGAUUAACCCCUUGCUGGUGUGGUUUGCGUGUGGGACGCGCGGCUCUGGGUUGCGAAUAUGCAGGAGAUGGUUUUUGCAGCCACUGUUCAAUUGUUCGCAAAGAGGAAUAACGCUUUCUGGGAACCGCAGUCACACUCUCUUUAGGACCGCCUGCCUGAAGAGUUUUUCCCCCUGGAAUUGAUGUAACGAUUGAUUGAUUUCUUACUUCUAUAAAGACUGGGGGACCCGCCCUCACUUAGAAUCUUUUUCCGAAGAGAAUGGGAGAGAGCAGUGUGAUGUUUUUCAAAUUGUGUCUAACGGAGCUCCCAAAACACCGGACUUGUUACCCCCUGAUUGGCUGGAAGGAAGCGGGACUGGGGGGUUUGAAUGUUGAACACCAGAUUACAAUUCUGGACUUUCCGAAAAAUUGUACUCUUAGAAAACCACGGAAAUAGUUACGAAACAUUAAGACAGGGAGUUAAAAAAAAAAAAAAAAGCUGGUGUUUAAGCUUUUUUUUCUUUCAUAAAGGGCUUUCGAGUGGUUCUGAUGUAUAUUAAAAGUAAAACUGAGGAGGCAAUUUUCGCAAAAUUGUAAUUCUGCUGGCUGAAAUUACAAGACUUUCGUAUAUUUGUCCCUCUUCUCUGUUGGUUAAAAACUGAGUGUAGGAUUUAGAUUUUUUAUUCCUUUGACAGAAAUUUUUCAUAUUAAGCUACAUAUAUUUGUUAGAUGCAGAUUACGGGAGAAUUGUUUUAUUUUGACGAAAAGAGACUUUAAUUUCC